UGGGGAAUCUUGCGCAAUGGACGAAAGUCUGACGCAGCUAUUCCGCGUGAAGGAUGAAGCAUUACGGUGUGUAAACUUCUUUUCUGGGGAAUGACGACUGACAGUACCCCAGGAAUAAGGGACGGCUAACUACGUGCCAGCAGCCGCGGUAAUACGUAGGUCCCAAGCGUUAUCCGGAUUUACUGGGCGUAAAGAGUCCGUAGCCGGUUUGAUAAGUCCGCUUUCAAAUACCGAAACUCAACUUCGGAAA
rnacentral:rRNA from 1 species